CAAGUUGGAAUGGUUCUAAAAUAUUCCCAACAGGACGAGGGAGAAAUAACCCUCAAAGGGUCUGGAUUGUAAUUGUAUCUGCACCAGACACUUACCGAAGUU
rnacentral:sRNA from 10 species